GGCCAAGCUAAUAAGGGCGUGUGGGGGAUGUCUAGGCACUAGAAGGCGAAGAAGGGCGUGGAAGACUGCGAAAAGUCCGGGGGAGCUGUCAAACGAGUUUUGAUCCCGGAAUCCCUGAACUAGCAUACACUGAAUCCAUAGGUGUAUGCGGCGAACGGAGGGAACUGAAACAUCUCAGUACCUCCUGGAAAAGAAAGCAAAAGCGAUUUUCCUAGUAGCGGCGAGCGAACGGGAAACAGCCCAAACCGGUGAAUCUAUUUCGCCGGGGUUGUAGGACCGCAUUUAAGAUUCGAUAGUCUAGCUGAACGCUUCAGGAAUGGGCGACCAUAGAGUGUGAAAGUCACGUAAGCGGCAGACGAAACGACUGAGCGGUAUCCUGAGUAGGACCAUGCACGUGAAACGUGGUCUGAAUCGGCGGGGACCAUCCCGCAAGGCUAAAUACUCUCUAGUGACCGAUAGCGAACAAGUAGCGCGAGCGAAAGAUGAGAAGAACCCCGACAAGGGGAGGAAAGUGAACCUGAAACCACAUGCCUACAAGCGGUCGGAGGACUAUGCCCGCAAGGGAAUGUCUGACGGCGUGCCUUUUGCAUAAUGAUCCGGCGACUUACCGUAACUGGCCAGAUUAAGCGCUUAUGGCGCGGAGUCGUAGCGAAAGCGAGUCUUAAAAGGGCGAUCAGUCAGGUGCGGUAGACGCGAAACCACGUGAUCUACGCAUGGCCUGGAUGAAGUGGAGGUAACACUCCAUGGAAGACCGAACUCACGAGUGUUGAAAAACUUGGGGAUGAGCUGUGUGGAGGAUUGAAAGUAUCAUCAAACGUGGAGAUAGCUCGUUCUCUCCGAAAUAACUUUAGGGUUAGCGUUAGGAUAGUUGGCACUGGGGGUAGAGCGACUGAAUUCGAAAGGGGGCCUACCCGGCUACCCUUCGAAACCAAACUCCGAAUACCAGUGUACCAAGUCCUUGCAGUUAGACGGUGGGGGAUAAGCUUCAUCGUCGAGAGGGGAACAACCCAGAUCACCUGCUAAGGUCCCAAAUUUAUGCUCAGUGCGAAAGGAAGUUGGAUUCCUAAGACAGCCAGGAUGUUGGCUUAGAAGCAGCCACCAUUUAAAAAGUGCGUAAUAGCUUACUGGUCGAGGGAUCCUGCGCCGAUAAUGAACGGGACUAAGCAUAAAACCGAAGCAGUGAAUGCGCAAGCAUGGUAGGAGAGCGUUGUCAACAGGGCGAAGUGGUACGGAUAACGAGCCAUGGACAGUUGACAAGUGAUCAUGCCGGAACGAGUAACGAUAAAACAGGUGAGAAUCCUGUUCGCCGUAAACCUAAGGUUUCCUGGGGAAGGUAAAUCCGCCCAGGGUUAGUCGGACCCUUAGUCGAGGCCGAAAGGCGUAGACGAUGGACAUACGGUUAAUAUUCCGUAACCGAUUUAUGCGAUCGAAGGCGUGUGACGUUGAUUUGAAGGAGUACCGCCUGCUAGAUUAGGCGGGUCGAAAGACGAGGGCUUUUACGAUCCCGAAGUCUCUAGAUUAUCAACCAAGAAAAGCCACUGCCGGACAAUUAAAUCGACCGUACUAAAACUGACACAGGUAGGUGAGAUGAAUAUUCUAAGGCGCUCGAGAGAACGCUCGUGAAGGAACUCUGCAAAUUAACUCCGUAACUUCGGGAAAAGGAGUGCCACCAUCCGUGGUGGUCGCAGUGAAAAGGUUCUAGCGACUGUUUACUAAAAACACAGGACUCUGCGAACUCGUAAGAGGAAGUAUAGAGUCUGACGCCUGCCCGGUGUCGGUAAGUUAAGGGAGACGGUUAACCGUAAGGUGAAGCUGGCGACCGAAGCUCCGAUAAACGGCGGCCGUAACUAUGACGGUCCUAAGGUAGCGAAGUUCCUUGUCGGGUAAGUUCCGACCUGCAUGAAUGGCGUAACGACUGGAACACUGUCUCCACGAGCGACUCGGUGAAACUGUAGUUGUCGUGAAGAUGCGACAUACCCGCAAUUAGACGGAAAGACCCCGUGAACCUUAACUGUAGCUUGGUAUUGGGUUUAGACCCAACAUGCGUAGUGUAGCUGGGAGACUAUAAAGGCGCGCUCUCGGGCGAGCUGAAGUCGUCGAUGAAACACCAGCCUUGUUGUGUUUGAAUUCUAACCCCGACCCGUGAAUCCGGGCGGUGGACAGUGCUAAGUGGGCAGUUUGAUUGGGGCGAUCUCCUCCUAAAAGGUAACGGAGGAGUCCAAAGGUACCCUCAGCCCGGUUGGCAAUCGGGCUUCGAGCGUAAAGGUAUAAGGGUGCUUGACUGCGAGGAGGAUGCUCCGAGCAGGUACGAAAGUAGGGCUUAGUGAUCCGGUGGUUCUGAAUGGAAAGGCCAUCGCUCAACAGAUAAAAGGUACUCCGGGGAUAACAGGCUUAUCUCCUCUGAGCGUUCAUAGCGGCGAGGAGGUUUGGCACCUCGAUGUCGGCUCAUCGCAUCCUGGGGGUGGAGAAGCUCCCAAGGGUUUGGCUGUUCGCCAAUGAAAGCGGUACGUGAGCUGGGUUUAGACCGUCGUGAGACAGGUCGGUCCCUAUCUGUUGCGGGCGCAGGAUACUUGAGAGGCUUCCUCCCUAGUACGAGAGGAUUGGGAGGGACGCACCUAUGGUGUGCCAGUUAUGACGCUAGUCGUAUCGCUGGGUAGCUACGUGCGGAAUGGAUAAACGCUGAAGGCAUAUAAGCGUGAAACUUCCCUCAAGACUAGGUAUCCUUGCUUUGCUGAAGUCUCCCGGUAGACGACCGGGUAUAUAGGUCAGAUGUGUAAGGAUAGUAAUAUUCUAAGCUAACUGAUACUAACAGACGAACGCUUUGCCAC
rnacentral:rRNA from 1 species